ensembl:lncRNA
GUGUGUGUAUAUAAGAUGUGUGUAUAUGAGUGUUUUACGUGUGUAUGUAUGAGUGUGUGUGUAUAUAAGAUAUGUGUAUAUGAGUGUUUUGCGUGUGUAUGUAUGAGUGUGUGUUUAUAUAAGAUGUGUGUAUAUGAGUGUUUUACGUGUGUAUGUAUGAGUGUGUGUGUAUAUAAGAUGUGUGUAUAUGAGUGUUUUAGUGUGUGUGUAUAUGAGUGUUUUACGUGUGUAUGUAUGAGUGUGUGUGUAUAUAAGAUGUGUGUAUGAGUGUUUUACGUGUGUAUGUAUGAGUGUGUGUGUAUAUAAGAUGUGUGUAUGUAUGAGUGUGUGUAUAUAAGAUGUGUGUAUGUAUGAGUGUGUGUGUAUAUAAGAUGUGUGUAUGUAUGAGUGUGUGUGUAUAUGAG